AAGUCGCGGGCUGGCCAAACGCUUCGCUUCUGGCCCAGCUUCCCCCAGCAGCGCUUCCGGGUAGCGCAAGAAAACGAGCUGAAUGCAGCAGCCGGACCGGACCAGCUUCAGCGCAGCUUAUCCUCUCCACCCGUCUCUUCUCCGAUCCAAUCCUCCCUGCUCGUGACCCCGUGCGCCGCCCCCCGCGCCGGUCGGCGCCGCCCCCCGCCAGCGCCCCCCGCGCCGCCCCCGUGCGCCGGCCCCCGCGCGACGCCCCCGUGCCACGGUGCCCGCGUCCAUCUCCACCCGCCAUAGAGCCGGGAGACGGCGGCGGAAGCGGACGGCGUGCGCGCGGGUGGCGCAGCGACCACGGCUGACCCUCGCACGGCCGCGGCACCUGCAGACACCGCAGCCUCUGGCCGGUGACCGGCCGCAGUGCGCUGGCAGCCGCGGCCGCGGCGUGCGCUCGAAAUAGCGCGCGAUGCGGCUGCAGCGGCAUCUGCGUCUGGUAGCGUUGUGUUGGAAGCUACUUGGAUGAAGAACAGGGGAAGUCGAAGGUGGUGAUGCUGGAGGAGCGGAAAGAUGGCGGAUUCCGGGAACCGGGGCCCGCGGAGCGGCGGCGGCGGCGCGCGUUCACGUGGCUACGACGUGAAGCUGUGGGGACCCGGGAGAUUCAUGCCGGGAGGCGUCAGAGGAAUCGGAAGGUAUGCAAUGCAUACUUCCGUCCAUGACGAUCGAUUCGCAUUUGGAUUUGAAGGAGAAUGUGCAAAUAUCUUGGCCCAAGUGAAGCCUUACAAAGCACACAAGCUUGGUGUUGUGGCCACCAAACACCAAGCUGAAGAGCAUGUUAUGGAGCCAAUUCGAUGAGGAAACUUGCAGGCAGAAAAAAAGCACAUCAAGUUUCAGGUCCUAAACACUGUUUUGUAUGACUGAAACGAAUAGCAAGUGCAGUUAGUAUUAGGACUAAAAUAUCAGCAAGGCUGAAUAUCUCUAGUAACAAACAUUGCUAGUUCUAUAUAACCUAAUUUAUGAUCAUAUUUUUGUUAAUACAGAAACACAUUAUUUCCUAAAUUUCUGGCCAUAAUAUUACUUAAUUUAGAACCA